rfam:Gossypium raimondii Chr08_contig_711, whole genome shotgun sequence.
UGUUAAAAUUUCAUCCAUUUAUAUUAUUCAAAGCUGGCAUUGUUGACGAUUUCAUAAUAUAGUGACACAUAGCGUGCUAUAUGUACCUCAUGUUAAUGUAUAUAGAUUUGUUUUUAACCGUAGGAAUGAAUGAAAUUUUUAAUA